rnacentral:lncRNA from 1 species
AUAAUUUCUUGAUAUAAAGUUAAGUUUGCUUAUUGAUUUUCCAGGCCUUAAUUUUAUGUUUGCACUCAUAUAUUUUUGAAAGGCCAUAAAUUUCAUAAUAGUGAAUUUUAAGGGACCAUUAGAUUAUCAAUGAUUGCUUUAGUAUCAUCUUUGGAUAUACAAUAUGACUUCCAUAAAAGAAUUGGAGUACUUAAUUCAAAUGAAUAAUUUUUUUACUAAUAGAAUAAAUGUAUCUUUAUUUAGAAAAAGAAUGCAUACAUAUACAUGUAUACAAAGUCUCAAAUCUUAUUGCUAAUCAAUAUAUCGACAAAUUGUAAUUUCCCUAAAACAGAGUUCAAUUAUUUUAAGUACAUGUACUGAUCAUGAUUGGACUUGCAAAAUUGAGUUUAUAAUUUGGGACCAUUGAUGUAUUAAUUUAAUACAAACUUAUACAUUUUAAAUUAGUUUUUGAAAAACUGCACUUUGGUAUAUGAUGUAUGCAUAAUAAUGAUCAUCAUAAAUGUGGAUAUGUAAGGAAUAAGAUCCUAUAAUUGUAUAAUAAAAAAAAAAUAGAAAAAUUUGGAGCUUUUGCUGAGGACUUGAAAUUUUUAAGGACAUCAUUUAAUAUGUCCUUAGCUUUACUUUGUUGUUAUUGUUAUAUGAAUAAUGUUUAUGCUUGAAUACAAUUGUGAUAUUUUAUUUUAUUGUUACAUACAUUGUUUAUUAAAAAAAUGAAAUCUGG